CACCGGCAGCUCUAGUGGUAGCAGUUUUUAUUGGGCCUAAAGCGUCCGUAGCCGGUUUAAUAAGUCUCUGGUGAAAUCCUGUAGCUUAACUGUGGGAAUAGCUGGAGAUACUAUUAGACUUGAGACCGGGAGAGGUUAGAGGUACUCCCAGGGUAGAGGUGAAAUUCUGUAAUCCUGGGAGGACCGCCUGUUGCGAAGGCGUCUAACUGGAACGGUUCUGACGGUGAGGGACGAAAGUUAGGGGCGCGAACCGGAUUAGAUACCCGGGUAGUCCUAACUGUAAACGAUGCGGGCUUGGUGUUGGGGUGGCUUUGAGCUGCUCCAGUGCCGAAGGGAAGCUGUUAAGUCCGCCGCCUGGGAAGUACGGUCGCAAGACUGAAACUUAA
rnacentral:rRNA from 1 species